UACAGAGACUGCAAGCGUUAUUCGGAUUCACUGGGCGUAAAGGGCGCGCAGGCGGCCGUGUGUGUGAGGCGUGAAAGCCCGGGGCUCAACCCCGGAAUUGCGCCUCAAACUACAUGGCUAGAGCAUUGGAGAGGGAAGCGGAAUUCACGGUGUAGCAGUGAAAUGCGUAGAUAUCGUGAGGAACACCAGAGGCGAAGGCGGCUUCCUGGACAAUUGCUGACGCUCAGGCACGAAAGCGUGGGGAGCAAAAGGG
rnacentral:rRNA from 1 species